AACGAACGCUGGCGGCAUGCCUAACACAUGCAAGUCGAACGAGACCUUCGGGUCUAGUGGCGCACGGGUGCGUAACGCGUGGGAACCUGCCCUUAGGUUCGGAAUAACUCCCCGAAAGGGGUGCUAAUACCGGAUAAUGUCUUCGGACCAAAGAUUUAUCGCCUUUGGAUGGGCCCGCGUUGGAUUAGCUAGUUGAUAGGGUAAAAGCCUACCAAGGCGACGAUCCAUAGCUGGUCUGAGAGGAUGAUCAGCCACACUGGGACUGAGAUACGGCCCAGACUCCUACGGGAGGCAGCAGUGGGGAAUAUUGGACAAUGGGCGAAAGCCUGAUCCAGCAAUGCCGCGUGAGUGAUGAAGGCCUUAGGGUUGUAAAGCUCUUUUACCCGGGGUGAUAAUGACAGUACCGGGAGAAUAAGCUCCGGCUAACUCCGUG
rnacentral:rRNA from 1 species